AGGAUUAGGGAGGUCAGGGCAUCAUCUGCAAGCACAGACAAUGGAGAAUGCUUCAUCACAUGACACUUUGAGAAGUGGAUGGACAGAAUGUGAUGAAGAUAAACUCUGCCUGGCUCAGACAAAAUGUUACAGUUGCGCAGUGAUGAGGAAGGAGGGAAUCUCUGAAUCACCCGUCCACAGUCGGGUCUUCAUAGUGCUCCCGAGCUGGAGAGUGAAGAACCCCCUCGGUCCCGCCGUGAAACUGAGGAACAGGAGGCCUGUCACCACCAUUCCUGCCAUCCUGCAUUCCUGGUGUCCAGCAUCCCAGAGGGCCUCCCUGCCAGCGACAAAACACAACCGUCGUCUGGACUCCCCAGUGCUCCUCCUCAACGGCUCUAAAUCAUCUGGAGAGUGGAAGGUCCUGGGCAUCGUGCCGGCAUGUGGGAUCCACUGCACCUGAACAGUGGGGAAUGGUUUCUGUGCUGGAGCAUCAUUUAGUGUUUUCCAGUUUCCAAGGGAGGGUUUAUGGGCCUGAGCGUUAAGCUCCCAAAGCCAGUCACUGUUUCACUGUAUUAAUUGUUUGCAUUUUCCUCUGUUCCCACAGUUUUCUGUACCUUUACCUUGACUACACUUACCUUUGUUUGCGCCAAACCACCUUGUCUCCUCUUUAUUUUAUUUACACCUCACAAGGAGGGAGGCAUAAUCCACUGGUGACAAGAGACAGGAGGGAGUUGAGUUUGUAUCUCUUGAGAAAAGGGGCUUUUUCCAUUCCUAUUUCUCCCCUACAAUUUCUAACGUUUUCCUUUGAAGCGUUGCCUUAUUCCCCUAGAGGUGACAGAGAGGACGUGGCCACCUUCACCUCCGACAGUAAGAUAUUGGCUCAGCUCUUUCUUUACGCUGCUGUUGUCAGUCCAAGAAACAUCAUCGAUGGAUGCAAGGCUGAGCUUACGCACCAAUCCCCUGAAAUAUUUCAGUGCCCCAGAGAAAUCCUGCCCCCAGCCAUUGGCAUGAUCUGGUGGAGAUUCGAAUAGGAAAGGGACGGUCUGAACUGUCAGUGUGGGGAAUGAACAACAAUCAAUAGCAAUGCCGUUAACCGCAAGCACUCUCUAACUAUGCUCCAGCCGAAAGGGAAAUGGGCAGGAACUCUUGCUGUUCAGCCACGGACACACUUACACUAAUGCACAACCAAAACUGUGUGCUGGGGGAGCUGGUCUGAACAAUUUGAAGUGACAAUUCUGUGAGAACAGAAUCAUUGUGUAGUGAAGCCCCUGUACAUCAAGUAGUUGUGGCUGAGUGGUUAAGGUGAUGGAUGAGAAAUCCAUUGGAGUCUCCUUAUGCAGGUUCAAAUCCUGCCAACUAUGGUAGCAUUAGUGUGUGGUCAUUGCUGUUGUCUUGGUGUCUGAACAUCCACAGCGUCAAACUGCAGCCAGAUCUAGUCUCGCUCUGCUCCAGCA